GGUACUCGCAUGCAGCUGAACUGUACUGAGCACCUCCUCGCAUUGCGCUGCGCUUCAGCUCGCGGCAGAGACCAUGUAGUCCUGCUCACACUGAGGACACUGUAAUGGCUACUCGCAGCAUGCAUGCGCUCACAUAACACUGCUGUUUAACAAUCCGACAACUAUGCAUCAUGCAUCUGACGCUUCUCUCCAUUUUGCUCGUGAGCACCCUCGUUUCCGGGUUGCAGUCAUCAGGGAGCACUGCAGCGCGCGUAGAGAAUGAGUCUGUUGUGGAUGUUGUGGAUUCAGUGCGGGUGGAGCAGGAUGCCACUGCACCAUCUUCAACACACAAUGGGAGCACCAAGGAGGCGGAGCACACUAUCACGUACCCGUCUCGCCUCAUUUACUACCUGAAUGAGCAAUCUGAGAGCACUUACCAUAAUCUGAACACUCAGGCCAAGAUCCCGGGCCAGCAGGGCCAGAUCGUCCAUUUGGCUCAAGCCAGUUUUCAGCUUGAGGCUUUUGGAUCCAGAUUCAUACUAGACCUCAUAUUAAACAAUGACCUACUAUCUUCCGAUUAUGUGGAGAUUCACUAUGAGGAAGGAAAACCCAUAACAUCCAAGGGUGGGGAACAUUGUUAUUACCGUGGCCAAGUGAGGGGGAACGAGGUGUCUCGAGUAGCCAUAUCAACCUGUGAUGGCUUACAUGGCAUGUUUGAUGAUGGCGUUUAUGUGUAUUUUAUUGAGCCUUUGAAACACUCUAUUGAUGGAGCGGCCAGACCCCACAGACUGUACAGGACGCCUAGCUUUCUAAGCUCUCAUGACCCUAAGGACACAGAUGGGGAGGAGGACCAGCUGGAUGACAUGGCUUGGCUGCGGCGCAGGAAAAAGCGUGCUAUGCCAAGGAAUGUGUUUGAGGAAAUGAAGUAUAUCGAGCUCAUGAUUGUCAGCGACCACAAUAUGUUUAAGAGACAAAAGACCAAACAACAAACACGUAACUUUGCAAAGUCUGUGGUCAACCUGGUGGAUGCUAUCUUUACAGAACAAUUGAAUACACGUGUGGUUCUGGUUGCUAUGGAAAUAUGGACAGAUAAAGACCAUAUUCCAAUCAGUGUGAUGCCACUGGACUUGCUCCGAGACUUUGCCAAAUACCGUCAGCAACACAUCAGACAGCAUGCAGAUGCAGUGCACCUGUUCUCUAACGUGACAUUUCACUAUCGUCAGAGCAGUGCAGCAUUGUUCGGGGGCAUGUGUUCACUCAGCCGUGGGGUUGGCGUGAAUGAGUAUGGAUCUGCAUCGACUGUGGCUGUGUCACUGUCCCAGAGUCUGGCUCAGAACUUGGGCAUUCAAUGGGAUCCGGCAUCCAGUAAAAAUAAGGAGUGCGGCUGUGUUGAUUCAUGGGUGGGUUGCAUCAUGGAGGACACAGGAGUGCAGCACCCGCGAAGGUUUUCCAAGUGUAGUGUUUCCGACUAUAAAGAGUUCCUUCUGAAAGGUGGAGGAUCAUGUCUCUUCAACAGGCCCAACAAGCUGUUCGAGCCAACAGAAUGUGGAAAUGGCUAUGUGGAGGUGGGAGAGGAGUGUGACUGCGGUCUAAGAGCUGAAUGCUAUAAGGAAUGCUGCAAGAAGUGUUCUUUGUCAAACGGAGCACACUGCAGUGAUGGACCUUGCUGCAACAACACCUGUCUGUUUUUCCCAAGAGGCUAUAGCUGUCGCUAUGCAGUGUCUGACUGUGAUAUUUCAGAGACCUGCUCAGGAGACUCUGGACAGUGCCCUCCUAACCUUCACAAACAGGAUGGCUCACUGUGCAAUCUUGACCAGGGACGCUGCUAUAGUGGAGAGUGUAAGACCAGAGAAAACCAGUGCAAAUAUGUGUGGGGUCCGAAGUCUGGGGGGUCAGAGAAGUUUUGCUAUGAGAAGUUGAACACAGAAGGAUCUGAAAAGGGGAACUGUGGGGAGAAUGGAGACAAAUGGAUCCAGUGUGGAAAGCAUGAUGUGUUCUGUGGGUAUCUUCUCUGCACUAAUGUUGGGCCAGUUCCCCGUAUCGGAAGAAUAAAGGGAGAAAUUACUCCCACAUCCUUUAACCACCAGGGCCGACUGAUUGAAUGCAGUGGUGGUCAUGUGUUAUUGGAUGAUGACACUGAUUUGGGUUACGUGGAAGAUGGGACGCCAUGUGGGCCUUCCAUGAUGUGCCUUGACCGUAAGUGUCUGCCCAUCCAGUUUCUCAACAUGAGUGCCUGUCCUACUGGCCCCAAUGGCCGCAUCUGCUCAAACCAUGGGGUUUGCAAUAAUGAAGCGACGUGUUCGUGUGAUGUGACAUGGGCGGGGACUGACUGCAGCAUACCCGACCCUCCGAAAAAACCUGCUUCCAAUGAAGAAGAAGAACCAAAGGGUUUGUCGUUCUGUCAUUAUUUCUCACGUACUCUUACGCAUAAACACACAAUGUGUGUCAAACGUUCCUAACACACAUUUGGGUUUAAAGUUUUGUUUGUAAAUUGAUCUGACGCCCCAUGCAUAUAGAGCAUUCUUUAAGAAACCCUCACGGAUAAAGCUGUUCUGUGACAGAGCAGAAGCAUGGUUAGUAAUGACGCUCCCUCUCUCUCAUGCACAGCAAAUGUGGCCACUAACAGGCUGAUAGGGGCUCUAGCAGGGACAGUUCUGGCCCUGGGGGUUCUGUUUGGAGGAACUGGGUGGGGACUUGAAAACGUCAAAAAGCGAAGGUACGACCCGAACGCAGCCGCCAUCUAGUGGAGACAAUGGACAAUGAUCCUCAAAGGAUCCUUAAGUACUCUACAGCUGGACUAAAAUUUUGCUGCUCUUUCUGACAUUAGUUAUAAAAUAUUCUACAAAAUAAAAUAUGAAAUCCAGUAGAUAACAAACCAUAUCUUAGUUAUGUAGAACUACCGCUUCUUGGCUCUGGCCUGUUUUAAACCCCAAGCUUACUGACUGAUGUGGUAUUAUUUCCAGGCCUCUUCUUUCAUGACGAGCAAUCCCACUUCAUCAUUUUAUUACACCACAGAGCACCAGCUACUCUGACACCCUGCCCAAAGGGCUGCAUGGCUACCUAUGCUUACUGAUAUGUAAUAGAACAGAGCAGUACUCCCUCUGAAAGGGAAAGGAGCCCUUUCACGCCUACCUAGGAGAAGGCUAAGUUCCGCUCACUGAACUCCAGUUACUCUGGGAUCGAUGUGAAUUACUGUAAUACUGCAACUUCCUCAGAGGUUUAUUACAUCAAGUUGAACAAAGCUGCAUAUAGGCCUUAACAUACUACACAUAUCACAUAGAGACAUGGAGUGGACUGGGCUCUACUGCUCCACAGGCAGAGAAUGAGUUAAGGUGCUGAUCUAUGAGAUCAUUUUACACUGACUGUUUCAGCAUUAUGUUUUGCUUUGGAUAGAGCAUGUUGUAUAGUAGGCAUAGUUUGAAACAGUCAAACGACCAAUUUUUCUCAUUCAUGCUUAACUCAAAUAUAUAAGUGUCGUUUAAAUUUAAAGAUGCAUUAAAUGCAGGUAUACAGUAUCUCAGAUAAGGGGUUUCUGUGGGUGUGAAACUGGAUAAGUUUCAUCUUGACAGUGAUUUAAAGCCAAAGAAAUAUCUGCUAAUGGAGAACACCGUUCCCUUUGUAAUAGACAUGGUGGAAGCUUUCGAUUAAACACAUGCAAAAAAUAAAUAAAUAAAUAAUUAAAUUCAAAUAAAAAAGCUGACCAUUGGCCAUAUCACAUUCUUGGGAGAGGUUAAAUAACAGUAAGCUUGAAGAUGUUUCAUUACUCAUCCAUUUCUGAACUGAUUUAGUUGCCGAAGCCAUCAUGCCGAAGAGUCGAGAGAACUUCUUCAAAGUUACACUGUAGGUCCUGGCAUUUUGACUUACUGGUGCUAAACAACUCGGUGCCCAUAAUAAAGAGUGAAAACCUUCCAGACAUCCUGGGGUAAUGUGUACUCACACAAACCCGUACAUGUUUCAUUAUGACCGUAGAUUAAGUCCAGUACCUAAGUUGUUGCACUUCAUCUAGCUCUUUCUGCUAAGCCUGUAGGGUGCAAUUGCUUUGCUGCAUGCAUUCACAAUACAGGAUGUUCCAAAUGUCCCCAUACAUAGGAAAAAUUAACACCUCCGACAGCUGUCCGAUGCAGCGAUGAGAAUGAUAGCAAGGUUGUUCUUUUGCCGUUCAGUCUAAACGGGUAUCUGAAAACAUCUGAAGACAUUCUGUCAAAAAAGUGUGGUAGUUUCUGCUACAUAUGGAGACUUUUGGGACACCCUGUAGUUGACUUUUUACUAUAUAAACUGGUCCCCAAACCAAUAAUAAACUUAUGCUACAGAAAGAUACAUGUGCAUGUCAGCUAUAGAACAUCAGACUUUUAUUUACUAUGCAAAGAUAUAUAUAUAUAUUGCACAAACUCGAAGAGUUGUUGGAUGUGAUAAUAAACUCAACACCAUUAUACACAAAAAAAGGCCCGUAAGGCCCAUCUUUUUUUUUAUUUAAAUUUUUUUUAUAUUGGCCAAACUAUUAAAUGUAUUGUGCUUCAAACUGAAAAAAAAGGAUGGUUGACAGAAUUCAUAUGGGUACUGAAUGAAUGUAUUUUACUUUUAUGAGAGUGAAUGUAUUGUAUCGGAUUUUGGGGGGAAAAUCUGGUAAUUAUUUACUUGACUGAUAUUUCAGGUGAGGUUUUAAGAUCUCACUUUUUAAAAAUGUGAUGCUUUAUUUUUCAUUAAUUAAUGACUAGUCCUCUAUUGUGAACAGAGGACAAACCUUGGCUCACAGUACAUGUACAGAAGUUCAUUCAAAUACAAAGAAAAUAUGAUCAAUAAACUUAUCAUGUUUCAGGA